GGCGAGCGGCGGACGGGUGAGUAUGCUGGGAAAUUGCCCAGUCGAGGGGGAUAACAGUUGGAAACGACUGCUAAUACCGCAUACGCCCUACGGGGGAAAGCAGGGGACCUUCGGGCCUUGCGCGAUUGGAUAUGCCCANCGUGGGAUUAGCUCAGCUUGGUGAGGUAAUGGCUCACCAAGGGCGACGACUCCCUACCCUGGCUCCUGACGAGGAUGAUCAGCCAACACUGGAACUGAGACACGGCUCCAGAUCCUACGGGCAGGCACGCACGUGGGGAAUAUUGCACAAUGGCGGGAAACCCUGAUGCAGCCAUGCCGCGUGUGUGAACGAAGGCCUUCGGGUUGCAAAGCACCUUUCAGCGACNGANGAACACGGUCAGCUACGCUAAUAUCUGCUUNGGGCCCCGCUGGAAGCGGUUAUAAGCNUCCNGCUAAUUAAUACGAAAAAGCCACCCUAGGGNCAUUAAACCUUUCCCAGUCUGGUCCNUAAGCCUAGUCCCUGCCGGGAUCAACUAACCGCGCAAGCGUGAUCGCACAACGCCCUGCUUAACAUCCGGCUCAACUUNAACCUCGGGGCGCCUCGUUANAACGCCUCGCCAA
rnacentral:rRNA from 1 species